GAUGAACGCUGGCGGCGUGCCUAAUACAUGCAAGUCGAGCGAACAGACCAGGAGCUUGCUCCUCUGACGUUAGCGGCGGACGGGUGAGUAACACGUGGAUAACCUACCUAUAAGACUGGGAUAACUUCGGGAAACCGGAGCUAAUACCGGAUAAUAUAUUGAACCGCAUGGUUCAAUAGUGAAAGACGGUUUUGCUGUCACUUAUAGAUGGAUCCGCGCCGCAUUAGCUAGUUGGUAAGGUAACGGCUUACCAAGGCAACGAUGCGUAGCCGACCUGAGAGGGUGAUAGGCCACACUGGAACUGAGACACGGUCCAGACUCCUAAGGGAGGCAGCAGUAGGGAAUCUUCCGCAAUGGGCGAAAGCCUGACGGAGCAACGCCGCGUGAGUGAUGAAGGUCUUCGGAUCGUAAAACUCUGUUAUUAGGGAAGAACAAAUGUGUAAGUAACUAUGCACGUCUUGACGGUACCUAAUCAGAAAGCCACGGCUAACUACGUG
rnacentral:rRNA from 1 species